AACGAACGCUGGCGGCAGGCCUAACACAUGCAAGUCGAACGCCGUAGCAAUACGGAGUGGCAGACGGGUGAGUAACGCGUGGGAACAUACCCCUCGGUUCGGAAUAACUCAGGGAAACUUGAGCUAAUACCGGAUACGUCCGAGGUUUUAAUCGACCUUGGAGAAAGAUUUAUCGCCGGAGGAUUGGCCCGCGUCUGAUUAGCUUGUUGGUGAGGUAAUGGCUCACCAAGGCGACGANCAGUAGCUGGUCUGAGAGGAUGAUCAGCCACAUUGGGACUGAGACACGGCCCAAACUCCUACGGGAGGCAGCAGUGGGGAAUAUUGGACAAUGGCGAAAGCCUGAUCCAGCCAUGCCGCGUGAGUGAUGAAGGCCUUAGGGUUGUAAAGCUCUUUGCCCGGGAAGAUAAUGACGGUACCGGGAGAAUAAGCCCCGGCUAACUUCGUGCC
rnacentral:rRNA from 1 species